ACUCCCAUGGCGUGACAGGCGGUGUGUACAAGGUCAGGGAACGUAUUCACCGCGGCGGCUGGGACAAUCACUAGUGAAUUCGCUGAUUGUAAAAGUACACCAUGAUAACUCGUUGUCGUGGAUAUACAUUCUUUGUGAAAGCAAAAGCGAUAAGUUAUCCACCUGGGGAGUACGACCGCAAGGUUGAAACUCAAAGGAAUUGACGGGGGCCCGCACAAGCGGAGGAACAUGUGGUUUAAUUCGAUGAUACGCGAGGAACCUUACCCGGGCUCGAACGGUGCAGGAAUAUGGUAGAGAUAUCAUAGCUAGCAAUAGUCUGUAUCGAGGUGCUGCAUGGUUGUCGUCAGCUCGUGCCGUGAGGUGUCGGCUUAAGUGCCAUAACGAGCGCAACCCUUGUCAUUAGUUACCAUCAGGUAAAGCUGGGGACUCUAAUGAGACUGCCACCCGUAAGGUGAGAGGAAGGGGGGGAUGACGUCAAAUCAGCACGGCCCUUAUGUCCGGGGCGACACACGUGUUAAUAUUGGGGGGCACAAAGGGCAACCAUCCGGCGACGGAGCCCCAAUCUCAAAAACCCCUUCUCAGUUCGGAUUGGAGUCUGCAACCCCA
rnacentral:rRNA from 1 species